UUACGGCCACAUCACGCUGAAACACCGGUCUCCGUAUGAUCCCCGAAGUUAAGCAACGUCGAGCUUAGUAAGUACCUGGGUGAGUGACCGUUUUGGAGUACCAGGUGUUGUAA